UUUGUACUUGUGGUGGUUUUGUAGUGUCUUCAUCUUCAAUAACUGCCUCAUACCAAGAUUUGAUAGGCUUGGCAGCGAGGAUGGCUGAAGACAUGAGUUUUGUAGAAGGCUUGGGGCUCUCUGGUUUUGUAGGCUGUGUUUGAGGGGCUUUUCCCUUGUCCUUGGCUUUUGCUUUAGGAGGCAUCAGGACCUGUUUUGAAGGAAUUCUCGGGUUAGGAAAUCAGGGAUGGAAUUUGAUUCUCCUUUAAUGUAAACAAUAUCAAAAUCAAAAAUACUUAAAAUGGCUUGCCAUCUGGCAAAGAUUUGUUUGGAAGCAAGAUUUUGGACAUCUUUUUGGAGAACUUCUUUUGCGGAUUUGCAGUCAACACGU
rnacentral:lncRNA from 1 species